GAUGAACGCUGGCGGCGUGCCUAAUACAUGCAAGUCGAGCGAACAGACGAGGAGCUUGCUCCUCUGACGUUAGCGGUGGACGGGUGAGUAACACGUGGAUAACCUACCUAUAAGACUGGGAUAACUUCGGGAAACCGGAGCUAAUACCGGAUAACAUGUUGAACCGCAUGGUUCAACAGUGAAAGACGGUCUUGCUGUCACUUAUAGAUGGAUCCGCGAAGCAUUAGCUAGUUGGUAAGGUAACGGCUUACCAAGGCAACGAUGCGUAGCAGACCUGAGAGGGUGAUCGGCCACACUGGAACUGAGACACGGUCCAGACUCCUACGGGAGGCAGCAGUAGGGAAUCUUCCGCAAUGGGCGAAAGCCUGACGGAGCAACGCCGCGUGAGUGAAGAAGGUCUUCGGAUCGUAAAACUCUGUUAUUAGGGAAGAACAAAUGUGUAAGUAACUAUGCACGUCUUGACGGUACCUAAUCAGAAAGCCACGACUAACUACGUGCCAGCAGCCGCCGUAA
rnacentral:rRNA from 1 species